rnacentral:rRNA from 1 species
UACGGAGGAUCCAAGCGUUAUCCGGAUUUAUUGGGUUUAAAGGGUGCGUAGGUGGCCUAUUAAGUCAGGGGUGAAAGACGGUAGCUUAACUAUCGCAGUGCCUUUGAUACUGAUGGGCUUGAAUACACUUGAGGUAGGCGGAAUGUGACAAGUAGCGGUGAGAUGCAUAGAUAUGUCACAGAACACCAAUUGCGAAGGCAGCUUACUAAAGUGUUAUUGACACUGAGGCACGAAAGCGUGGGGAUCAAACAGG